AGCUGAAAGCUGCCAGCACCUGUCUGGCCUCCUGAACGUAUCCUGGCUGCCACAGUCUCUUCAACAGAAACUUCCUGCUCAUCUAAAUUAUAGUUUAGGUAUAUUAAAUAGGAGAUAAGGAGCUGAUGGCAGUCAUUUAACACGGAGGCCGCGACACAGUUUCUAAAUCUGCAACAGCUAUUUGUCGUUCAGUCCCUCGCUCGCCUUGGUAACCAAACCCCGACCCGGCGGUCCCUCGUUACUCAGCGAGGAAGGGGCAUUUCUACAGCGGUGACGGAGCGCGCAGCCCGGGCGGCGUGCCCACACCUGCGCUGCUGCAGGGCGUGAGCGGCAACAAGGCUGCAGUGCGAGGACACGUGUGGGAGCGGGGCGGGAACGGUGUUUCCCCUCAGGGAUUCCGCACGGGGAGCAGGCGGAGCGCCGAAGCGACGUGAGCCCGCGUGGCGGGCGGCCUGGCGGCGCGGCUCCCGCUGCGGCACGGUGCGGCGCCCGGAGGUCGGGGCUCGCGCUCCCCCCGGGCGGAGGGAGGGAACGCCGCAGGUGCAGCCGGGAGAAGUGGCGGACAAAGAGCGGCGGCACCUGCACUCACCAUCGGUGAAGAAGUGGUACAUGGACCAAAGUGCAGAAAGAGGUUAAGGAAGCCAGAAAGGGAACUCCGUGAGACGUGAACUCUGUAAGCCAGGUGAAUGCAGUGGUGACUGUGGUGUGAGCAGCUUGGAGCCCCUCCAAGGAGCACAAGCUCACACUGCCACGACGAGAAAUGGGGGAGAGAUGUUGGAGCUGGCAAGAUGCCUCCAUGUAGAGGAGGGGGAUACCUAUGAGUCUGGCCCUGGUCAAACCGACUGGGAUUAUUCCAUCUCUUGCGUUAUUCCAGCUCUGAACGUUGCAGUCAGUAACAGGACAGUUUGUAGGAGGCUAAAAUAGUGCUGUAAGGUGCAGUAAUUUGCAAAUGACCCAAAGGAUUAAUCACAUGCAGAUUAUGGAUAACUGGAUCUGCAGACCCAAGUCUCACAUUAUCAUGGUUUUGCUGUCACUCUUGUCUCUAACUUCAUUGUUUUUUAAUCUGGAAAAAAUCAUUGCGUUUUACCAUUCGUCAAUAUUAGUCAUUUCACCAAAAUGAAACAUUGUAACUAAAGUCAAUUUCUGUUCUGCCUGAGGUUGAGAAACUAAUGAAGGGUUUUUGCUGUCACUUCCAAAAGGAGAUCAUUUGCCAAUUUUCCUCAUUCUCCUAAAUAUGCAUCACAUUACACGGGCAGAUGUAAUAAGCCAAUACAGAUACUGGUGGCCUGACCAGGCAGUCUCUUUCCUACAGGACACUAUUCAGACACAUCUUUCUAUUUCCCAAAGUAAGGCUUUGCUAGUAAGCUGGACUCCAGUACCCUGCUUUAAAUGAAUCUGCACAAAGGGAUCCCUUCAAAGAGGCCAAUCACGUCAAUAGAAGAGAGUUCCUGGGGAGACCAGGGUUGUUAUCUGAUAUCUGAGGGGGGAAAAUAAAAAUAAAAAAAUUUCAAUCGGAAGCCACAUUAUGAAGUUUUUCCCUUUGAACUCUUCCCUUCCCAAAGGUGUUUUUUAUGGUUUUUAACAUGAAAUGAAUAAUCUCCUGGAUGACAAAGAGCAAACUAAAGAGGCCAACCUUGAGUUAAUAAGUUGCUGGUUAUUUAUUAUAACAAUGAUAUGUCUGUGCUUUCGAGUAUGCAGUAAUUAAUAAACUCCCUUACCACAGGACACCACUGUUAUCCAUAAUAUUGUCAAAACCAUUCGAGUUGUACUUUGUGUCUACAGAAGUAGAACUGAGCAGGGGUAAAACUUUUCCUUUGUCUUGCAAAAAUAGAGCUAUCAGUCUGAAAAUAACAUCAAUACACUGUAUAAGCUGGGCUGUAUUUAAUUUUCUCACUUUUAUAAUGCAUUUGGGUCCUAAUUUUUGAAGGAUUGAAAAAUGAAAUUAGAGAAGCCUGCGUGUCUGUGUAAUCUGUAACUAUUUUUUAGUUACGUGCUUUUAUUCUGGGAGAUUUCAGUCAUAUCCUCAGAGUUUCUGCUGACUUCUGUUUGUUGCCUUGCUUUUGUAACCUGAGAACUGAAGGUUACAACUCAGGGGAACUUUUAAAGGAAAUAUCUUUCACCAGGAAGCAUGGAAUCAGCUAUUCAGUACGUUUUGUGAAUGUAGAUGAACUUAAAAGGUUCUUGUUUGAUUGUGAUUUUUUUUUUAGAUCAAAGCAUUUCACCUAUGCAUAUUUCAAACAGUUUAAGGAUUGGCUGACUUCUAAAAUUUUACUUUGUUUUGAACAUUGCAACAUUAAAAAAAAAACAAAAACAAACAGACAAACAAAACCCCAAACAUUUGAACUCCAUGUGAAACUUUUUGAGAGUGAACUGAAAAUGUAAUCAUUUACUAUGCUCUAUUUUGUUUAUUUGUUUUUUACAACGUCAUAAUGU